rnacentral:rRNA from 1 species
CAAUAGCGUAUAUUUAAGUUGUUGCAGUUAAAAAGCUCGUAGUUGGAUUUCGGUUAAGAGCGACCGGUCCGCCGUUUGGUGUGCACUGGUUGGUUUUAACUUCCUGUAGAGGACGUGCUCUGGGUUUAACGACCUGGACUCGGAGUCUACGUGGUUACUUUGAAAAAAUUAGAGUGUUCAAAGCGGGCUUACGCUUGAAUAUUUCAGCAUGGAAUAACACUAUAGGACUCCUGUCCUAUUCCGUUGGUCUCGGGACGGGAGUAAUGAUUAAGAGGAACAGUUGGGGGCAUUCGUAUUUCAUUGUCAGAGGUGAAAUUCUUGGAUUUAUGAAAGACGAACUUCUGCGAAAGCAUUUGCCAAGGAUGUUUUCAUUAA